CGGAUCGGGAGAGAACGACAAGAUACUCAGCGUCGUUAUAAAGAGGAGAUGCAACAGAUUGCUUUUGUACAAGGAUGAUGCCAAACAAGAAUCUGGUAAUUUGUAACAUGUCCUUCGGUAGUUAAAUAAAAGAGUAGAAAAAUAAUGUGCUAAAAUAAAAAAGGAAUAUAUACACUG